rnacentral:rRNA from 1 species
UACGAGGGGGGCGAGCGUUGUUCGGAAUUAUUGGGCGUAAAGGGCUCGUAGGCGGUUUGUUGCGUCGGGAGUGAAAACUUACAGCUUAACUGUGAGCGUGCUUCCGAUACGGGCAGACUUGAGGUAUUCAGGGGAGAACGGAAUUCCUGGUGUAGCGGUGAAAUGCGCAGAUAUCAGGAGGAACACCGGUGGCGAAGGCGGUUCUCUGGGAAUAUCCUGACGCUGAGGAGCGAAAGUGUGGGGAGCGAACAGG